rnacentral:tRNA from 1 species
GUCCGUAGUGUAGUGGUUAUCACGUUCGCUUCACACGCGAAGGUUCCGGUUCGAUCCCGGUCGCAAACCA